rnacentral:rRNA from 1 species
GAAGUAAAAGUCGUAACAAGGUUUCCGUAGGUGAACCUGCGGAAGGAUCAUUACAGUAGUCAUCCGGGUUGCCGCAAGGCCUCCCGGGUAACCUACCACCCUUUGUUUAUUACACUUUGUUGCUUUGGCAGGCCUGCCCUCGGGCUGCUGGCUCCGGCCGGCGAGCGUCUGCCAGAGGACCUAAACUCUGUUUGUCUAUAAUGUCUGAGUACUAUAUAAUAGUUAAAACUUUCAACAACGGAUCUCUUGGUUCUGGCAUCGAUGAAGAACGCAGCGAAAUGCGAUAAGUAAUGUGAAUUGCAGAAUUCAGUGAAUCAUCGAAUCUUUGAACGCACAUUGCGCCCCCUGGUAUUCCGGGGGGCAUGCCUGUCCGAGCGUCAUUACAACCCUCAAGCUCAGCUUGGUGUUGGGCCCCGCCGCCCCGGCGGGCCCUAAAGUCAGUGGCGGUGCCGUCCGGCUCCGAGCGUAGUAAUUCUUCUCGCUCUGGAGGUCCGGUCGUGUGCUUGCCAGCAACCCCCAAUUUUUUUCAGGUUGACCUCGGAUCAGGUAGGGAUACCCGCUGAACUUAAGCAUAUC